UUUCUAAAAAUGUGUACACCUCCCAUCUUGUUCUUGGACAAUCAUCAUUUGCCUGGACACAUUCCAUUGGGUAAUCUGUGUGACUAUAAAUGCUAGGAUAUGUUCCUUACAAUCUUUAGAAUUGAACAAGUGAUUUGGAUAAACU